CCCUUAGAUGUUCUGGGCCGCACACGCGCUACACUGAAGGAGGCAGCGUGUACUCCUGGAUCGAAAGAUUUGGGUAACCCGCGAAUCUCCUUCGUGCUAGGGAUUGAGGUUUGCAAUUAUCCUUCAUGAACGAGGAAUUCCCAGUAAGUGCAAGUCAUAAGCUUGCGCUGACUACGUCCCUGCCCUUUGUACACACCGCCCGUCGCUACUACCGAUUGAAUGAUUUAGUGAGGAUUUCGGACUGGGACUGAUGCGGCUUUCGGGCUGCGUCGGUAUUCUGGAAAGAUGUCCAAACUGUAUCAUUUAGAGGAAGUAAAANUCGUANCA
rnacentral:rRNA from 1 species